rnacentral:tRNA from 1 species
CGCGCGUGGCCCAGCGGUUAUCGCGCUUGCCUUCAACGCAGAAGGCCAGGGUUCGAAUCCUGGCUGCGG